GCCUUACGGCCAUACCAGCCUGNNUACGCCCGAUCUCGUCCGAUCUCGGAAGCUAAGCAGGGUCGGGCCUGGUUAGUACUUGGAUGAGAGACCGCCUGGGAAUACCAGGUGCUGUAAGCC
rnacentral:rRNA from 1 species